AAACCAACAGGGAUUGCCUUAGUAGCGGCGAGUGAAGCGGCAAAAGCUCAAAUUUGAAAUCUGGCUCUUUCAGAGUCCGAGUUGUAAUUUGAAGAAGGUAUCUUUGGGUCUGGCUCUUGUCUAUGUUUCUUGGAACAGAACGUCACAGAGGGUGAGAAUCCCGUGCGAUGAGAUGAUCCAGGCCUAUGUAAAGUUCCUUCGAAGAGUCGAGUUGUUUGGGAAUGCAGCUCUAAGUGGGUGGUAAAUUCCAUCUAAAGCUAAAUAUUGGCGAGAGACCGAUAGCGAACAAGUACAGUGAUGGAAAGAUGAAAAGAACUUUGAAAAGAGAGUGAAAAAGUACGUGAAAUUGUUGAAAGGGAAGGGCUUGAGAUCAGACUUGGUAUUUUGUAUGUUACUUCUUCGGGGGUGGCCUCUACAGUUUAUCGGGCCAGCAUCAGUUUGGGCGGUAGGAGAAUUGCGUUGGAAUGUGGCACGGCUUCGGUUGUGUGUUAUAGCCUUCGUCGAUACUGCCAGCCUAGACUGAGGACUGCGGUUUAUACCUAGGAUGUGC
rnacentral:rRNA from 1 species